rnacentral:miRNA from 1 species
CUUCUCGGCCUUUUGGCUAAGAUGAAGUGUA